GACGAACGCUGGCGGCGUGCUUAACACAUGCAAGUCGAACGGAAAGGCCCUGCUUUUGUGGGGUGCUCGAGUGGCGAACGGGUGAGUAACACGUGAGUAACCUGCCCUUGACUUUGGGAUAACUUCAGGAAACUGGGGCUAAUACCGCAUAGGAGCUCCUGCUGCGUGGGGGGGGUUGGAAAGUUACGGCGGUUGGGGAUGGACUCGCGGCUUAUCAGCUUGAUGGUGGGGUAGUGGCUUACCAAGGCUUUGACGGGUAGCCGGCCUGAGAGGGUGACCGGCCACAUUGGGACUGCGAUACGGCCCAGACUCCUACGGGAGGCAGAAGUCGGGAAUAUUGCACAAUGGGCGGAAGCCUGAUGCAGCAACGCCGCGUGCGGGAUGACGGCCUUCGGGUUGUAAACCGCUUUCGCCUGUGACGAAGCGUGAGUGACGGUAAUGGGUAAAGAAGCACCGGCUAACUACGUG
rnacentral:rRNA from 1 species